AGAGUUUGAUCCUGGCUCAGGAUGAACGCUGGCGGCGUGCCUAACACAUGCAAGUCGAGCGAUUUACUUCGGAGUGAGCGGCGGACGGGUGAGUAACGCGUGGGUAACCUGCCCUGUACACAUGGAUAACAUACCGAAAGGUAUGCUAAUACAAGAUAAAAUAUAUUUAUCGCAUGAUAGAUAUAUCAAAGCGUUAGCGGUACAGGAUGGACCCGCGUCUGAUUAGCUAGUUGGUAAGGUAAAGGCUUACCAAGGCGACGAUCAGUAGCCGACCUGAGAGGGUGAUCGGCCACAUUGGAACUGAGACACGGUCCAAACUCCUACGGGAGGCAGCAGUGGGGAAUAUUGCACAAUGGGCGAAAGCCUGAUGCAGCAACGCCGCGUGAGUGAAGAAGGUUUUCGGAUCGUAAAGCUCUGUUGUUGGUGAAGAAGGAUAGAGGUAGUAACUGGCCUUUAUUUGACGGUAAUCAACCAGAAAGUCACGGCUAACUACGUGCCAGCAGCCGCGGUAAUACGUAGGUGGCAAGCGUUGUCCGG
rnacentral:rRNA from 1 species